rnacentral:rRNA from 1 species
UACAGAGGGUGCGAGCGUUAAUCGGAAUUACUGGGCGUAAAGCGUGCGUAGACGGCUAUCUAAGUCGGGUGUGAAAGCCCCGGGCUCAACCUGGGAAUUGCAUUCGAGACUGAAUAGCUAGGGUACGGUAGAGGGAAGUGGAAUUUCCGGUGUAGCGGUGAAAUGCGUAGAUAUCGGAAGGAACAUCAGUGGCGAAAGCGACUUCCUGGACCAGUACCGACGUUCAGGCACGAAAGCCGUGGGGAGCAAACAGG